UGUCCAGUUGGAGAUACUACAUAAAGAGCAUUUCAAAACUGGUCCAUCAAAAGAAACGUUCAACUCUGGGAGAUGAAUGCACACAUCACAAGAAGUUUCUCAGAAUUCUUCUAUCUAGUUUUUAUGUGAAGAUAUUUCCUUUUCCACCAUAGGCCUAAAAGCGCUCCAAAUGUCCACUUGCAAAUUCUACAAAAACAGUGUUUCCAAACCGCUCAAUCAACUGAAAGGUUCAACUUUGUGAGAUGAACGCACACAUCACAAAGAAGUUUCUCAGAAUUCUUCUGUCUAGUUUUUCUGCGAAGAUAUUUCCUUUUCCACCAUAGGACU
rnacentral:lncRNA from 1 species